UACGAAGGGGGCUAGCGUUGCUCGGAAUGACUGGGCGUAAAGGGCGCGUAGGCGGAUGGUACAGUCAGAUGUGAAAUUCCCGGGCUUAACCUGGGGGCUGCAUUUGAUACGUGCGAUCUGGAGUGAGGAAGAGGGUCGUGGAAUUCCCAGUGUAGAGGUGAAAUUCGUAGAUAUUGGGAAGAACACCGGUGGCGAAGGCGGCGACCUGGUCCUUGACUGACGCUGAGGAGCGAAAGCGUGGGGAGCAAACAGG
rnacentral:rRNA from 1 species